AAGUCGUAACAAGGUCUCCGUAGGUGAACCUGCGGAGGGAUCAUUACACAAAUAUGAAGGCGGGCUGGAACCUCUCGGGGUUACAGCCUUGCUGAAUUAUUCACCCUUGUCUUUUGCGUACUUCUUGUUUCCUUGGUGGGUUCGCCCACCACUAGGACAAACAUAAACUUUUUGUAAUUGCAAUCAGCGUCAGUAACAAAUUAAUAAUUACAACUUUCAACAACGGAUCUCUUGGUUCUG
rnacentral:misc_RNA from 1 species